rnacentral:rRNA from 1 species
AUGACAACCCAUGGCGAGGCGAAAUUGAAAGAUGUGAAGAACAUGAAUUGGUGUAAGUUCAUUGCUGACUUCCUACAUGAUGCAUUCUCAAGCAAAAUAUACCAGAAGGGUUGUCGACUGCAUUUAAUGCUCAUGUACGUCGACUGCCUUGAUCUGUCCACCGUGGAUUUCACUGGGACAGGAGGCCCGCCGCCUACGCACAAGUUUGUUGUUUUUGCGUGGACUUACGAUGCUGUCAAGGCUGUGCUUGCAGCAGACAGGGUAACUGAUACCAAAUAUGGAAAACUGCAGCUGAUCGCCAACCAUGCUAUAGACUACAACGUGUUUGGGGGGCCUCAAAAUUUUGGAAAGUGGAUGGACGUGCACUCAGCUCCGUCUUGCCCUACUGAGGCGAGGGCACCUGUUGAGCAUCUAAUUGGGAAGUUUGCAUCCGAAAUGACCAGCUUGCUCGAGAAGCUGGUUGAGGGUUGGACGUCCCUUAAUGACUCUGACAGCGACGCGGUUGCGAGGCAGUUCACUACAUUUGUCCCAGAACGGACACAUCGGCCAACUGGUUGCUGUGGUCAGUACUACUACAACAGUUCCCAAGAGCUUGCUGACACACAAGAUGAACUAGAUGGAGACGCUGGUCUCAACAAGGAUGAUCGCGAUGACAUGGAGAACGUGCAACAUGAGACCGAUGAUGAUGAACAUGUUGAAGUUCGUGCAGGUGGUAAGAAGGGCAAGGAUGCACUAGAUGUCCCCCUACCGGAGAAAGUCAAAGAACAUACGGCUGCAAGAGGCGAGGGGGUGUUUCCCUCAAAGAGGGGGAGGGCUCCAGAGGAUGUUGGGCAGGGUUCUCCUGGCAAGAGGUCUAGGACCGAUCCCGUAGCUGCUAGGAGGAGUGAGGCGACAGCUGGUGGACGAGCAGUUACGAAGAAACAGGCACCAACGCCAACCCGUGUUUCUACUCGGUUGAACAAAGGUGCCCCCAUUGCUGGUGACACCCCUUCCACCAGGUCAUCUCCUCGUACGACAACGUCCAACACCGGGGUUCCUAUCGUGUUGCCAGACAUGAGAAAGGUGAAGAAGACUACUACACGCGCGGACAAGCAUAUCAUUAGGGACCCACUCAAACGCCUUCAUUCAAAGUUGUCAACAGGUGGCAACUCAGAUGUCCAUGAGGCGCUAGUCGACAAAACUGCUGCUGCACUGUCAACUGUUCCCACAAACUCUGAUGCAAGUGGCCGACCAUCUCUGCCGAUUGCAGAUGUGCAGGCUAGAAUAACAGGCAUCCGUACAUCGGGGAGUGACGAGUCGGUAUCUGCCAGGACAGCUGAAAUAUUGCCCACUCUUCUGGCAAUGAAGGAUGUUGCUGUGAGCCACCCCAUCAGCAAGCGCUGA